UCUCUCUCUCAUCUUAUCUCUCUCUCUCUCUCUUUCUCUCUAACAUGUCGCCUGGGGCCAGAUCUCUCUCUCUCAUCUUAUCUCUCUCUCAUCUCUCUCUCUCUCUCUCUCUCUCAACAUGUCGCCUGGGGCCAGAUCUCUUUCUGUCUCAUCUGCUACUUCAUUCCACUGGAGCGGCCUUCUGUAAUGAAGCUCCUUGAUGUACAUUUGCCAAUUUCUGUCUGUGCCACUGCAGUAUAAUUGGGAAGUGACUAAGCAUGAACUCCCGGUGCAGGGUUGGUUGACCUCCACGCGACCCCACAGAUAGAGCUUUUGUCAUAAUAUAAGUAUUAUCUCUCCUAAUCUGGGAAUGGAGAGGGGUUGUCUGCAGGGUUCCAGGGAUGGACAUGGAGGUUACGUCCCAAAUAGUUCCCUAUUCCGAGUGCACUUCUUUUGACCAGAUCCCAUAUAGGGAAUAGGGUGCCAUUUGAGACACACCCUCUGAGAUUAAUUGAUCUAACUCCAUAAAGUGCUCCUAGGCAGGGCUGAAAUAAUAUAGAUUUUAUUAAAACACGCUUGUAAUGAUGAUGAUUUAUAAAUAAUUAUCUUUGUUUUGUGUUUCUUGAUGUACUAAAGUAGCUGGCGGGUGACACUGAGUUGGUGUGUGUGUGUGUGUGUGUGUGUGUGUGUGUGUAGUGCAUUAGUGCGUGUAGUGUGUUUGUGUAGUGUGUGCAGUAGUGUGUGUGUGUAGUGUGUGUAGUAGUAUGUGUGGUGUGUGUAUGUGUAGUGUGUUUGUGUGCAUCACCGUGUGUGUAGUGUGAUUGUGUGCGACACUGUGUAUGUAGUGUGUGUAGUAGUGUGUGUAGUGUGAUUGUGUGCGUCACCGUGUGUUUGUGUGUGUAGUGUGUGUAGUAGUGUGAUUUGUGAUUGUGUGCGACACUGUGUGUGUAGUGUGUGUUAAUGACCUUGUAAAAUAACAAGCUGAGCUUCCGGUGACUGAAAGCAGAAAGCCUGUGGUCACAGAGAGGCGG
rnacentral:lncRNA from 1 species